rnacentral:rRNA from 1 species
GAUGAACGCUGGCGGCGUGCCUAAUACAUGCAAGUCGAGCGAACGGACGAGAAGCUUGCUUCUCUGAUGUUAGCGGCGGACGGGUGAGUAACACGUGGAUAACCUACCUAUAAGACUGGGAUAAUUUCGGGAAACCGGAGCUAAUACCGGAUAAGAUUUUGAACCGCAUGGUUCAAAAGUGAAAGACGGUCUUGCUGUCACUUAUAGAUGGAUCCGCGCUGCAUUAGCUAGUUGGUAAGGUAACGGCUUACCAAGGCAACGCUGCAUGGCCGCACUGAGAGGGUGAUCGGCCACACUGGAACUGAGACACGGUCCAGACUACUACGGGAGGCAGCAGUAGGGAAUCUUCCGCAAUGGGCGAAAACCUGACGGAGCAACGCCGGGUGGGUGAUGAAGGUCUUCGGAUCGUAAAACUCUGUUAUGAGGGAAGAACAUAUGUGGAAGUAACUGUGCACAUCUUGACGGUACCUAAUCAGAAAGCCACGGCUAACUACGUG